UACGAAGGGGGCUAGCGUUGCUCGGAAUUACUGGGCGUAAAGCGCACGUAGGCGGCUUCCUAAGUCGGGGGUGAAAUCCUGGAGCUCAACUCCAGAACUGCCUUCGAUACUGGAGAGCUCGAGUCCGGGAGAGGUGAGUGGAACUGCGAGUGUAGAGGUGAAAUUCGUAGAUAUUCGCAAGAACACCAGUGGCGAAGGCGGCUCACUGGCCCGGUACUGACGCUGAGGUGCGAAAGCGUGGGGAGCAAAUAGG
rnacentral:rRNA from 1 species